UUUUAGGGAGACCUACACCCCUCAAAUAUUGAAAGCAAACAGCAAAUAAAUAUUGAGAUGGUCAAACCUAGGUCGGUCGCAGACAUUUUGUUGUUAGCUUUCAAACUAUGAUUUGGUUCAAUUAUGGGCUAUUAGCUCAGGUGGUUAGAGCGCACCCCUGAUAAGGGUGAGGUCCCUGGUUCGAGUCCAGGAUGGCCCACCUGAAAGUAAUUGGUAAUUACUAAUUCGUAAUUCGUAAUUAACUACGAAUUGAGAAUUAUAAAUUACGAAUUAUUUCUGGGGGUUUAGCUCAGUUGGUAGAGCGCCUGCUUUGCAAGCAGGAUGUCAGCGGUUCGAGUCCGCUAACCUCCACCUUGAUAGCGUCAGCUAAAAAUAGAGGGAUUGAAUUCAGCAAAGUGACAUAUAGCAUGAUUAGAUUAUGUAAAUGUCAGACUGCUGGGUAAUCGUCCAGCCAGAACCUUGAAAACUGCAUAGGAAUGCGAAAAAAGCAGGCAGACACAGACAUUACUGAGUGCCAAGUCUUGGGUACUGAUUAAAAUCAGUGUUCAGAGAUGAAGUAGUCAAAAAAUAUUGUGUUUGCAAUUGAAGCCGAAUUGUUUGAGU
rnacentral:tRNA from 2 species